UACGUAGGUGGCGAGCGUUGUCCGGAUUUACUGGGCGUAGAGGGAGCGUAGGCGGACUUUUAAGUGAGAUGUGAAAUACCCGGGCUCAACUUGGGUGCUGCAUUUCAAACUGGAAGUCUAGAGUGCAGGAGAGGAGAAUGGAAUUCCUAGUGUAGCGGUGAAAUGCGUAGAGAUUAGGAAGAACACCAGUGGCGAAGGCGAUUCUCUGGACUGUAACUGACGCUGAGGCUCGAAAGCGUGGGGAGCAAACAGGAUUAGAUA
rnacentral:rRNA from 1 species